GAUGAACGCUGGCGGCGUGCCUAAUACAUGCAAGUCGAGCGAACAGACGAGGAGCUUGCUCCUCUGACGUUAGCGGCGGACGGGUGAGUAACACGUGGAUAACCUACCUAUAAGACUGGGAUAACUUCGGGAAACCGGAGCUAAUACCGGAUAAUAUAUUGAACCGCAUGGUUCAAUAGUGAAAGACGGUUUUGCUGUCACUUAUAGAUGGAUCCGCGCCGCAUUAGCUAGUUGGUAAGGUAACGGCUUACCAAGGCAACGAUGCGUAGCCGACCUGAGAGGGUGAUCGGCCACACUGGAACUGAGACACGGUCCAGACUCCUACGGGAGGCAGCAGUAGGGAAUCUUCCGCAAUGGGCGAAAGCCUGACGGAGCAACGCCGCGUGAGUGAUGAAGGUCUUCGGAUCGUAAAACUCUGUUAUUAGGGAAGAACAAAUGUGUAAGUAUCUAUGCACGUCUUGACGGUACCUAAUCAGAAGGCCACGGCUAACUACGUG
rnacentral:rRNA from 1 species